GGGCCCUUCGUCUAUCGGUUAGGACGUCAGGUUCUCAACCUGAAAAGAGGGGUUCGACUCCCCUAGGGCCUGCCA
rnacentral:tRNA from 1 species